rnacentral:rRNA from 1 species
GACGAACGCUGGCGGCGUGCUUAACACAUGCAAGUCGAACGGAAAGGCCUCUUUCGGGGGUACUCGAGUGGCGAACGGGUUAGUUACACGGUAGUUACCUUCCCUUGACUUUGGGAUAACUUCAGGAAACUGGGGCUAAUACCGGAUAGGAGCUCCUGCUGCAUGGGUGGGGUUGGAAAGUUUCGGCGGUUGGGGAUGGACUUGCGGCUUAUCAGCUUGUUGGUGGGGUAUUGGCUUACCAAGGCUUUGACGGGUAGCCGGCCUGAGAGGGUGACCGGCCACAUUGGGACUGAGAUACGGCCCAGACUCCUACGGGAGGCAGCAGUGGGGAAUAUUGCACAAUGGGUGGAAGCCUGAUGCAGCAACGCCGUGUGCGGGAUGACGGCCUUCGGGUUGUAAACCGCUUUCGCUCAUGACGAAGCUUUGUGUGACGGUAGUGGGUAAAGAGGCACCGGCUAACUACGUG